AGCAGCCGCGGUAAUUCCAGCUCCAAUAGCGUAUAUUAAAGUUGUUGCAGUUAAAAAGCUCGUAGUUGAAUUUCGGGGUUAGUAGGUUGGUCAUGCCUCUGGUAUGUACUGGUCUCACUGAUUCCUCCUUCCUGAUGAACCUUAAUGCCAUUAAUUUGGUGUUUUGGGGAAUUUGGACUGUUACUUUGAAAAAAUUAGAGUGUUUAAAGCAAGCUAACGCUUGAAUACAUUAGCAUGGAAUAAUGAAAUAGGACGUUCGAUCCUAUUUUGUUGGUUUCUAGGAUUGACGUAAUGAUUAAUAGGGAUAGUUGGGGGCAUCAGUAUUCAAUUGUCAGAGGUGAAAUUCUUGGAUUUAUUGAAGACUAACUACUGCGAAAGCAUUUGCCAAGGAUGUUUUCAUUAAUCAAGAACGAAAGUUAGGGGAUCGAAGACGAUCAGAUACCGUCGUAGUCUUAACCAUAAACUAUGCCGACUAGGGAUCGGAUGAUGUUAAUUUUUUAAUGACUC
rnacentral:rRNA from 1 species